rnacentral:sRNA from 1 species
CCGCCUCAGGAUGGCGGUGGUACAAACUUGAAAGUUUUAGACGAAGACUAAAACUUUAAGCUGAAAAAUGUACUCUGGAUGUAUAUUUUUCAGCAGUU